GCCAUCUUGAUAGUAGCCUCGUGAUUAAUUCCUUUGUUUUUUGCUCAUUAAUAUUGUUUAAAGUGUAAUAUCGAUAGCUUUAUUAUACAAUAAUCUAAUGUGGUAGUGUGCAGUGAAUGGAGAAUUAAUCUCAAAGCUUGUUUAACCACCAUUUUGGAGUCAACGGCCGGUAGUCCACGUGCUUCUCGUAAAAUCCAGCUAUCGGUUUUACGAGACAACUACAACAACCACCGAACAGCAUUUAUUUUGUUCCUACCCUUUUACGUGACAUUGGCUACGGGCAACACCGCCCUCAAGUCCAUCAAGAAAAGAAGAAAACAAUUUUGUUUCGUGCUCCUCUUUUUAUAUUUCAGCCAUUUAAAAUAUUUUAUUUCUAUUACAUUUGGGAAAUGGCCACUGAUAAUGGAUGCUGAUAACUUGAUAAGCAAUAAUAUGUCAAUGUAAUAAAGGUGUCAACAUAGUGUCAACUUUAAGCGUCAAUUGGUGUCAAUUUUUGAGUGGGCAUUUUUUGCAAAUUGAAUGUGGGAUAACACAAUUGCUUAUCAGCGUCCUUAUGCUUGACUAAGUUUACAAUGCCGCAUUGUUGUGCAUUUGGAUGUUCGAAGAAAGGUGCGGUGCUGCACGUUUUUCCAAAUCCAAACAAACACCCUGAUCGAUUUAAAGUUUGGGUUCAGCUUAUUGGGGGCAAGUUGGGCACCCCAUCAGAUUAUGAAUUUUAUAAAAAAAAGAGGAUUUGCGAUCUUCAUUUUACCGAAGAACAUAGGAAUCGCUUUAAGCGAUUAAAUGCUAUAGCAGUACCGACCCUAUGUCUACUUGAUGACUCUACCAGCGCGAGCUACGCGCUACGAGCAUAGCCGACAACAUGAGAAUCCACCACAACAUCCACCUUUCAAGAUGUUGCUCCUGUAACUGACAUUCAGCCCACCUUUCAUUCUGCUGCUUCUGCGCCAGGCACAUCAUGCGCCCAACAUAAGUACUUCUCUUGGGAUUCACAAUCAACCUACCUUUCAUUUCGCUACUUCUGCCCCAGGGUGGCCCCAGGCACCAGGCACUGCCAGCGCCCAACAUUUGCUCCUAGAAUUGACUAUCAGCACAUCUUUCAUUCUGCUGCUUCUAUGCCAGUUACGCCCGCUAUACAACAGUCUGAGGUGCCUACCAUCAUCAACAACGUAUGUACUGCAGAUUCUUCUGUAUUUGCAGAACAUAAUUAUAGUGUGAUGAGUCGUUCGAAAAGAAAGACAUUAGAUGAAGGUUCGAACAAACGUGAGGUGCAGCUUAAGGCAAAACAACUUCAAAUGGAAGAUAACCGUUUGCCCAAAAGGGGACUUUCAUACAAGCACUGCCGCGUUCCAGACAGUAUGACAUUGUGCAGCACAUGACGAAACCAGCUCAGCUUUUAGUGAAAAUGCAAUAACAAUCAACGAAGCACCCUAAAGGACGACGCUAUUCACUAAAAGAAAAAAAAUAUGGCAUUCUCGCUUUACAAAUAGAGUCCGAAGUGCUAAUACAGGCUGUUGUGUGAAUAUUUUUCACUUCCACCUGGCAAAACGAUGAAAAGAUUAUUAGGCGAAAUUAAACUUACCACAGUGGCAUAAACACAAUUAUAUUCGAAGGAAUUAAACACAAAAUAACCAAUCAGAUGGCAGUCGCUUUCGUAAAAACUAGUGCCUACGCCGAUUCUUAGGAUUACUUGUCAAGCGGAUCCCAGGCUCCCAUGAGUCGUGGCAAAAUGCCGGGAUAACGCACGGAAGAUGAUGAGGAAGGACCUUUCACUUCUCCAAACUUCAUGCAUUAACCGUAAAGACUAUGCGUCUUUGUAAUAUGGUACAAUUUUGACUUAUUGGACACGUAUUAGUUGUGUAUUCCGUAGCAUUCGUUUAUAAGACUGUUAGCUUAGUCUCCUGACGCAAAACAAUUACUUACAUAUUUCAUAUUCGCUAGGCUAGGUGCACGACGGGUGCUGCUGUCCUUAUUUUGUGGGCUUCUCUACGGGAGUGAAAUUAUCAAACUGAUGCUGCUAGAAUUCAUGUGGGACAUUCCAUAAUAUUAUGUGUGUUCUCCCUCCACCGACUGCACUUUGCUAAUAAUUUCAUUUUAACAUGUGCCUAAGCCUUUCUCACUUCAAGUACCGCACGGAAGACCAGCGCUGGCUUUAUAUCUAGCAUUACGCUGAGUUGGGUCCAUUUCGUGAUGCACACUUAACAUAUCAGAACCAAAACGUGUUGUUACUAAAAUUAUAGGCAAAAAGUUGUAUCUACUGAUAUACAUACAUACAUACAUAUAAUCACGCCUAUUUCCUGGAGGAGUAGGCAGAGACCACGGAUUUCCACUUGCUACGAUCCUGACAUACCUCUUUCGCUUCCUUCAAUUUCAUAACAUUCCUCAUACACCUCACAAUGUGUUUACAUUUUGUUAGAUAGAUAAUUCACUAUUUAUUACCGUUAUGUUAAAAUGUCAUUUUGGUCGGAUGUUCAUAUCCAAAGUUAUAUGGAAUUCGUGUCUUUUAUUUUCAUCAAAAUAAAUAUUGUUUUUUUGACAUUAGGGACCUUUAAUAUCUCCAAAUUGAAUAUAUUAUUGACGAAUCGAAUUUAAUUUCCUUGCUUCAUUUUUAUAUUGUACAGACUGUAUUGUAACGUUUAGUAUAAA